rnacentral:rRNA from 1 species
CCUACGGGGUGCAGCAGUGAGGAAUAUUGGUCAAUGGACGAGAGUCUGAACCAGCCAAGUAGCGUGAAGGAUGACUGCCCUAUGGGUUGUAAACUUCUUUUAUAAAGGAAUAAAACGAGGCACGUGUGCCUUUUUGCAUGUACUUUAUGAAUAAGGAUCGGCUAACGCCGUGCCAGCAGCCGCGGUAAUACGGAGGAUCCGAGCGUUAUACGGAUUUAUUGGGUUUAAGGGGAGCGUAGAUGGGUUGUUAAGUCAGUUGUGAAAGUUUGCGGCUCAACAGUAAAAUUGCAAUGGAUACUGGCAGUCGUGAGUACAGUUGAGGUAGGCGGAAUUCGUGGUGUAGCGGUGAAAUGCUUAGAUAUCACGAAGAACCCCGAUUGCGAAGGCAGCUUACUAAACUGUGACUGACAUUGAUGCUCGAAAGUGUGGGUAUCAAACAGGAUUAGAUACCCUUGUAGUC